rnacentral:rRNA from 1 species
AUUGAACGCUGGCGGCAGGCCUAACACAUGCAAGUCGAGCGGCAGCGGGAAAGUAGCUUGCUACUUUUGCCGGCGAGCGGCGGACGGGUGAGUAAUGCCUGGGAAAUUGCCCAGUCGAGGGGGUUAACAGUUGGAAACGACUGCUAAUACCGCAUACGCCCUACGGGGGAAAGCAGGGGACCUUCGGGCCUUGCGCGUUUGGAUAUGCCCAGGUGGGAUUAGCUAGUUGGUGAGGUAAUGGCUCACCAAGGCGACGAUCCCUAGCUGGUCUGAGAGGAGGAUCAGCCACACGGGAACUGAGACACGGUCCAGACUCCUACGGGAGGCAGCAGUGGGGAAUAUUGCACAAUGGGGGAAACCCUGAUUCAGCCAUGCCGCGUGUGUGAAGAAGGCCUUCGGGUUGUAAAGCACUUUCAGCGAGGAGGAAAGGUCAGUAGCUAAUAUCUGCUGACUGUGACGUUACUCGCAGAAGAAGCACCGGCUAACUCCGUGCCAGCCGCCGCCGUAA